CAAUAGCGUAUAUUAAUGUUGUUGCAGUUAAAAAGCUCGUAGUUGGAUUUCUGGUGGGAGCGAUUGGUCUGCCCCGCGAGGGGUAGUAUCCUAGUCGUGUCCGGCCCUUUUCGGGUUGACCGUGGCUGGCAUUAAUUUGUCGGUGCGGGAAGCCCGUCGUUUACUGUGAACAAAUUAGAGUGUUCAAAGCAAGGUGUUCUUGAAUAUUCAAGCAUGGGAUAAUGAGAUAGGACUUUGGUGGUUCGCACUUUCGUGGUGUGAUAUUUUGUUGGUUUGCACGCCAAAGUAAUGAUUAAUAGGAGCAGUUGGGGGUAUUCGUAUUCAAUUGUCAGAGGUGAAAUUCUUGGAUUUCUAGAAGACGAACUACUGCGAAAGCAUUUACCAAGGAUGUUUUCAUUAA
rnacentral:rRNA from 1 species